UACAGAGGGGGCUAGCGUUGCUCGGAAUGACUGGGCGUAAAGGGCGCGUAGGCGGUUCGUACAGUCAGACGUGAAAUUCCCGGGCUCAACCUGGGGCUGCGUUUGAUACGUGCGGGCUUGAGUUCGGAAGAGGGUCGUGGAAUUCCCAGUGUAGAGGUGAAAUUCGUAGAUAUUGGGAAGAACACCGGUGGCGAAGGCGGCGACCUGGUCCGAUACUGACGCUGAGGCGCGAAAGCGUGGGGAGCAAACAGG
rnacentral:rRNA from 1 species